rnacentral:rRNA from 1 species
GACGAACGCUGGCGGUGUGCUUCACACAUGCAAGUCGAACGAGGUAGCAAUACCUAGUGGCGGACGGGUGAGUAACGCGUGGGAAUCUGCCUUUAGAUGGGGGAUAACGAGCCGAAAGGUUCGCUAAUACCGCAUAGGUCGCAAGAUUAAAGGAGUAAUCCGUCUAGAGAUGAGCCCGCGUCCGAUUAGCUAGUUGGUAGGGUAAAGGCCUACCAAGGCGACGAUCGGUAGCUGGUCUGAGAGGAUGAUCAGCCACAAUGGGACUGAGACACGGCCCAUACUCCUACGGGAGGCAGCAGUGGGGAAUUUUACGCAAUGGGCGAAAGCCUGACGUAGCGACACCGCGUGAGCGAAGAAGCCCUUUGGGGUGUAAAGCUCUGUCGGCUGGAACGAAAAAAAUGACGGUACCAGC